UUCAGGAAACUUACAAUCCUGGUGGAAGGCGGAGGGGAAACAGUUACAUGUUACAUGGCUGGAGCAGGAGGAAGAGAGAGAAGGGAUGUGCUGCACACUCUUAAACGACAAGAUCUCAUGAGAACUCUCUCACAAGAACAGCACCAAAGGAAUGGUGUUAAACCAGUCGUGAAGGAUCCACCCCCGUGAACAAGUCACCUCCCACCAGGACCAGCCUCCAACACUGGGGAUUACAAUUGAACAUGAGAUUUGGAUGGGGACACAAAUCCAAACCAUAUCAAUCCCACUACAAGACUU
rnacentral:lncRNA from 1 species